rnacentral:lncRNA from 1 species
GUUAAACAACAGUGGUGACAGGGGGCAUCCUUAUCAUGUUCCAGAUCUUAGAGGAAAAGCUUUCCAUUUUUCCCCAUUCCAUAUGAUUCUAGCUGUGGGUGUCUUUCCUGUAGUUUUUAUUAUGUUGCGUGAAAGAAGAUUGCCACGGAGACAGAGAGCAGCAUGGUCAGUGUGGUAGGAGCCGGCCAUCAGCGAGAGCUGCUCCAUGCCUGGCUGCUGGGAGCUAGAGCCUGCGGCCCACUGGCUUGCCUCACUGUAGUUGGUGGUGGCAGUGACAGAGACUGCAGCAUGACCAGAGUGGCUUUUCUGGCUUUGCCCGCCCAGCUGCUCCAUGCCAGGAGGAGGAGGAGACACCUAGAGCCUGCAACACCACGGCUCACCUCGCUGCGGGUGGGUGGCAGUGACGGAGACUGCAGUGCG